GGAAGGAUCAUUAACGAAAACGCUCGGGGAUGUUGCUGGCUCUUUGUCGGGGCAUGUGCACUCCUUGAACAUUUCUGACCCUUUCAACCCUGUGCACCUUUUGUAGGCUUCGGAGAUCACACUUUGGAGCUUAUGUACUUCAUACAAAACUCUUGUCAAUUGAAUGUCCUGUAACAUGCAAACCUGGAGCUUUUUCUAGGUUUGAAAGUGACCCAAUACAACUUUCAACAAUGGAUCUCUUGGCUCUCGCAUCGAUGAAGAACGCAGCGAAAUGCGAUACGUAAUGUGAAUUGCAGAAUUCCGUGAAUCAUCGAAUAUUUGAACGCACCUUGCGCCCCUUGGUAUUCCGAAGGGCAUGCCUGUUUGAGUGUCAUUAAAGUCUCAACUCGACCCGAGUUUGCUCUCGGGGAACUCGAGCUUGGAUUUGGAGUGUGUGCUGGUCCCCUUUAAGGGGUCGGCUCCUCUGAAAAGUAUUAGCGAUGAAAAACCCCUCGAAGUGGGUCCCCAAUGCGCCGUGGCAUUGAUAACAUUUGUCUAUGCCUCACUUGCGAGAGGGAUAUACUCUUCAGGGGUGUGCUCUCGCUGACAACUGUCCCUCUGGGGACAAUGGUUCGCCUUGACAAUUACCUCAAAUCAGGUAGGAUUACCCGCUGAACUUAAGCAUAUCAAUAAGCGGAGGAAAAGAAACUAACAAGGAUUCCCCUAGUAACUGCGAGUGAAGCGGGAAAAGCUCAAAUUUAAAAUCUGGUGGUCCUCGUUGGCCGCUCGAGUUGUAAUCUAGAGAAGUGUUUUCCGCGCUGGACCCGUGUACAAGUCUCUUGGAACGGAGCGUCGUAGAGGGUGACAAUCCCGUCUUUGACACGGACUGCCAGGGCUUAUGUGAUGCGCUCUCGAAGAGUCGAGUUGUUUGGGAAUGCAGCUCAAAAUGGGUGGUAAAUUCCAUCUAAAGCUAAAUAUGGGCGAGAGACCGAUAGCGAACAAGUACCGUGAGGGAAAGAUGAAAAGAACUUUGAAAAGAGAGUUAAACAGUACGUGAAAUUGUUGAAAGGGAAACGAUUCAAGUCAGUCGCGUUGGCCGGCAAUCAACUCUUGCUUAAAGGCGAGAGCUUACUUUUCGGUUGACGGGUCAGCAUCAAUUUUGACCGUCAGAUAAAGGUUUGGGGAACGUGGCAUCUUCGGAUGUGUUUAUAGCCCCUUGUCGCAUGUGACGGUUGGGAUUGAGGAACUCGGCACGCCCGCUAAGGGUCGGGGCUUACUUGCCCACGUAACGUGCUUCGGAUGCUGGCAUAAUGGCUUGAACCGACCCGUCUUGAAACACGGACCAAGGAGUCCAACAUGCCUGCGAGUGUUUGGGUGGUAAACUCGAGCGCGAAGUGAAAGUGAAGCUUGUCGAGAUCCCUGUCGUGGGGAGCACCGACGCCCGGACCUGACCUUUUGUGAUGGAUCUGCGGUUGAGCAUGCAUGUUGGGACCCGAAAGAUGGUGAACUAUGCCUGAAUAGGGUGAAGCCAGAGGAAACUCUGGUGGAGGCUCGUAGCGAUU
rnacentral:rRNA from 1 species